UAACAACAAAGUGCUCCCAGCCACCAUGAUAGGGCAGUGGUUCAGUAUGGAUUCAGAAUAAUAUGAGAGGUGUCAUUCAACUAAAUCACUAAUGUCAUUUUCUAUAGUUUUCUGAGUUUUCCUUGGAGGUUUCCUAUUCAGGGCACAAGGGGCAGUGUGGACCGGUGCUUCUCCAGUUUCUUCCCCUACUGUGAAUCCAGUUAUCAGUUGCAACAGAGGGGAUGGAGAGUGGGUAGUGGAAAACAGAUAGGGACUGCACAUCUCGAAGAACCACCAGUUACAAAUAAAAGGCCACUGUUCUUCAGACAGCUAGAUAAUGAAGCCUUCUUACCUCAUCAGAGGCAUGUGGUUUUGGAAAAAACUGUCAUUCUGUGGUGAGAGCGUCAGCCAUGAGGCUAACCCAAAGUAUCUUGGUGUUACACUGGACCAGAAUGUAAACUUUCAACGACACCUCGAGAACAACCAUGAUAAGACUGAAGCAGUCAAAAGAGGAAACUGUGGACACAGAAGAAUCUGACCCCGGCCAUGUGGCAGUAAGAAGGAACUGGAGAGGCACCAGGACACAUUGCCCCUCUUUGCCCUCAGAACAACUGUGCAUGCAUGGACCAACGGACACUGCUUACUAAAAAUAUUUGGGUUUAGGCGCAUGGGGCACAUGCACACCCACAUGUGGAAUACAUAGGGACCAUCACUCAAAGAAGAAUCUUUGUUUUUAAAAUUAAAUGAAUAUCAAAGUCUGUAUUUUAAAUGUUAAGUUAUGGACCUACCAAACAAAUGUAAGGACACGAAACAUAUUGGAGUAGAUCCUCAGCUGGUGUAAAUUGUCAUUACUGUUGAUUCCAUUUUGUUCACUUAUGCUAUACAGGAGUUAAUGCUGAUUUGUGACAGCUUUAGCUUUGAAUUUCAAGGGUUUUGUUGGUUUGACAAACAAUUUACAGUUUACAUAUUUUACACAUAUGCCCACACAAACAUAUAUACACAUAUGCAUAUUUAGUAUUACAAUAUAGUGGAAACAAUCUUUCCAGUUAUACCUGAAAUAAAAUAUUUUUUCAUUCUAACACACCACCAAUAUCUCUAGCCAGUACGUUAAAGAAAAGCACUAUAAGAAAAUGCCUGACAUGAGAAAAUGAAAGAUUAAUUUAAACAUGGAUCUCUGUAAAAGGAAUAAAAAUAAAAUUUGCACUUU